UACGGGGGGGGCAAGCGUUGUUCGGAAUUACUGGGCGUAAAGGGCUCGUAGGCGGCCAACUAAGUCGGAUGUGAAAUCACCAGGCUUAACCUGGGAACUGCAUCCGAUACUGGAUGGCUUGAAUCCGGGAGAGGGAUGCAGAAUUCCAGGUGUAGCGGUGAAAUGCGUAGAUAUCUGGAGGAAUACCGGUGGCGAAGGCGGCAUCCUGGACCGGCAUUGACGCUGAUGAGCGAAAGCUAGGGGAGCAAACGGG
rnacentral:rRNA from 1 species